rnacentral:rRNA from 1 species
UGGAGAGUUUGAUCCUGGCUCAGAACGAACGCUGGCGGCAGGCUUAACACAUGCAAGUCGAGCGCCCCGCAAGGGGAGCGGCAGACGGGUGAGUAACGCGUGGGAACGUACCCUUUACUACGGAACAACUCCGGGAAACUGGAGCUAAUACCGUAUGUGCCCUUUGGGGGAAAGAUUUAUCGGUAAAGGAUCGGCCCGCGUUGGAUUAGCUAGUUGGUGGGGUAAAGGCCUACCAAGGCGACGAUCCAUAGCUGGUCUGAGAGGAUGAUCAGCCACAUUGGGACUGAGACACGGCCCAAACUCCUACGGGAGGCAGCAGUGGGGAAUAUUGGACAAUGGGCGCAAGCCUGAUCCAGCCAUGCCGCGUGAAUGAUGAAGGCCUUAGGGUUGUAAAGUUCUUUCACCGGAGAAGAUAAUGACGGUAUCCGGAGAAGAAGCCCCGGCUAACUUCGUGCCAGCAGC